rnacentral:rRNA from 1 species
UACGUAGGGGGCGAGCGUUGUCCGGAUUUAUUGGGCGUAAAGAGCGUGUAGGCGGCCAGGUAGGUCUGCUGUGAAAACUCGAGGCUCAACCUCGAGACGUCGGCGGAAACCAUCUGGCUAGAGUCCGGAAGAGGAGAGUGGAAGUUCCUGGUGUAGCGGUGAAAUGCGCAGAUAUCGGGAAGAACACCCGUGGCGAAGGCGGUUCUCUGGGACGGUACUGACGCUGAGACGCGAAAGCGUGGGAGCGAACA